GCUAUGCACACUUGGUGAUAUUUUAGGACUUCUUUGAAGAAGUCAUCAAGGGGGAACCGCAGCCCGGCCUUUAAUUGUUCUUCGUAUACCAUGAUCAUAUCGUUUUCCUCGAAGAAAUGAUCGGCACGAAGAUCGCCGUGACACUUAAUCAGCUUGUAUGAAUCAGGCCGGAUGUUGUACUCCUGGCUGAACGACUGCAGGUCGGUUUCUUGCAAGAUUGCUGGCAGCUCGUCCAUGGGAAGAUUCUCUCUCCCUGAAGAAGGUACAUGCCUUGAUGGUGCUGCUUGCCCCCGAGCUGGAACAGAGACCCUAGGAGGUUCAGGUCGCACGCUUGGUCCGACCACCUCCACUUCAUCAGACGACCACGAGAUCUGAACGGAAGGGGGGCUUGCCGCUCUCUGACCCUCGGCGCUGCUCAUUUUCAAAGGAAAUAGAGAAUUUAAACUAAAAGAAGGAUCAAAACCCUUACCGGAGCUUGAUCGGUGUCGGAAGAACUUGAGAAAUUGAGAGGAUUUUGGAAUCGCUCGUAGAAUGCUGAAAAUGACAUGAGAGAGCGACUGGCUGACCCCAACCCCUAUUUAUACCCGUCUGAGCA
rnacentral:misc_RNA from 1 species